AGGACGAACGCUGGCGGCGUGCUUAACACAUGCAAGUCGAGCGGAAAGGCCCUUCGGGGUACUCGAGCGGCGAACGGAUGAGUAACACGUGAGCAACCUGCCCUUAGCUCUGGGAUAGCUCCGGGAAACCGGAAUUAAUACCGGAUACGACCUAGGCCGACAUCGGCCAUGGUGGAAAGUUUUUCGGCUAGGGAUGGACUCGCGGCCUAUCAGCUAGUUGGUGGGGUAAAGGCCUACCAAGGCGACGACGGGUAGCCGGCCUGAGAGGGCGACCGGCCACACUGGGACUGAGACACGGCCCAGACUCCUACGGGAGGCAGCAGUGGGGAAUCUUGCGCAAUGGGCGAAAGCCUGACGCAGCGACGCCGCGUGGGGGAUGAAGGCCUUCGGGUUGUAAACCCCUUUCAGCAGGGACGAAGCGAAAGUGACGGUACUGCAGAAGAAGCGCCGGCUAACUACGCGCCAGCAGCCGC
rnacentral:rRNA from 1 species